GGAUCGAUCAUACCAGCACUAAUGCACCGGAUCCCAUCAGAACUCCGAAGUUAAGCGUGCUUGGGCGAGAGUAGUACUAGGAUGGGUGACCCCCUGGAAGUCCUCGUGUUGCAUCCC
rnacentral:rRNA from 1 species